GAUGAACGCUGGCGGCGUGCCUAAUACAUGCAAGUCGAGCGAAUAGAUGAGGAGCUUGCUCCUCUGACGUUAGCGGCGGACGGGUGAGUAACACGUGGAUAACCUACCUAUAAGACUGGGAUAACUACGGGAAACCGGAGCUAAUACCGGAUAAUAUAUUGAACCGCAUGGUUCAAUAGUGAAAGACGGUUUUGCUGUCACUUAUAGAUGGAUCCGCGCCGCAUUAGCUAGUUGGUAAGGUAACGGCUUACCAAGGCAACGAUGCGUAGCCGACCUGAGAGGGUGAUCGGCCACACUGGAACUGAGACACGGUCCAGACUCCUACGGGAGGCAGCAGUAGGGAAUCUUCCGCAAUGGGCGAAAGCCUGACGGAGCAACGCCGCGUGAGUGAUGAAGGUCUUCGGAUCGUAAAACUCUGUUAUUAGGGAAGAACAAAUGUGUAAGUAACUAUGCACGUCUUGACGGUACCUAAUCAGAAAGCCACGGCUAACUACGUG
rnacentral:rRNA from 1 species